rnacentral:misc_RNA from 1 species
AAGUCGUAACAAGGUCUCCGUUGGUGAACCAGCGGAGGGAUCAUUAUCGAGUUUAUUCAACUCCCAAACCCUAUGUGAACUUACCACUUGUUGCUUCGGCGGCGCUCUGGCGCUGCCGGGGGUAUCAAACUCUUAUUGUUUUUACAGCAUUAUCUGAGUGGCCGAAAGGCAAAAAACAAAUGAAUCAAAACUUUCAACAACGGAUCUCUUGGUUCUG